rnacentral:rRNA from 1 species
UAACGGAAUUUGCUUAUUGCACCACAUGUGUUUUUUAUUGAACAAAUUUCUUUGGUGGCGGGAGCAAUCCUACCGCCAGAGGUUAUAACUAAACCAAACUUUUUAUUUACAGUCAAACUUGAUUUAUUAUUACAAUAGUCAAAACUUUCAACAACGGAUCUCUUGGUUCUCGCAUCGAUGAAGAACGCAGCGAAAUGCGAUACGUAAUAUGAAUUGCAGAUAUUCGUGAAUCAUCGAAUCUUUGAACGCACAUUGCGCCCUUUGGUAUUCCAAAGGGCAUGCCUGUUUGAGCGUCAUUUCUCCCUCAAACCCCCGGGUUUGGUGUUGAGCAAUACGCUAGGUUUGUUUGAAAGAAUUUAACGUGGAAACUUAUUUUAAGCGACUUAGGUUUAUCCAAAAACGCUUAUUUUGCUAGUGGCCACCACAAUUUAUUUCAUAACUUUGACCUCAAAUCAGGUAGGACUACCCGCUGAACUUAAGCAUAUCAAUAAGCGGAGGAA